GUUACAAAGGUAUCUUACUGGAGAUUCCUGUGUACCUGAGCCCUUUUGAAGGGUGAACUGAGGAUAUGACAGUCUCAUUUGUUGAAGUGACCAAAAAAGCACCUUGUUUGCUUUGAACCUUGCACAAAUGUGAAAAAUUUUUCUUGUGCUGCUUUCAGCGUAACCCUGCUCCAAGAACUAUACAGACUUGUAAUAGCUUCUGUUUAUGCAAUGUAACAAGCUGAGGUCAGUGGGAAAGUGUCAGCUGCAGCGUAUGACUGAGUUUUCACUGCAUCAUGGAACUUGGCACAGCCUUCUAAUGACAGAUAACAAACUGCAUUCUAUAGCUUUCGAAACCCUCAAAGGAUAUGUGGCUGGGAAAGGCUUGCAAAUGCCUUCCCUUGAUUAACAGUCACAAAACUGAAGUGAUCAUAAUUUAGUCCUAGCAAAGAGAUGUGCUUCUUUGUCACAGCAAUAAAGACACGAAAGCCCACAAACCUACACAAUAUACAGAAAUCAUCGUUAAAGAAAUUCACAGUCAUCAUGCCAGACACUAAAUGAAUUAUGUCUCUCAUUUCUUGUCUCACCACAGCUUCCUCCCACUUGGACACACAUGUUAGGCAUUCAGUUAACCUCAAGCAUAGCUCUCCUGGCCCUAUCGCUAUAUCUGCACUCCCCAUCACCAGGAUAUGUUAGACUACAUUUUUGCAAUGUAAAAAGAGUGACAUCACUUUUUUUCUUAAAGUUGUCUCUUAUAACACUUUAACUAUACCCAGCUCAGUUUAGCCCAGAACAUGCUCAUCUCUGCACGCUUUCCUGUCCUGUGCUCACUGCUGCUCCUAUGCACAGCUCUGUGCUACGUACCCCAUUCUGAACCUCUCAUUUUCCAUCUGCAGCAGCUGCAUUUGCUUCCCCAUCUAUAACUUUUGCCAACCUCCUGCUCGUGCAUUGCACUUCCUGUGAAGUGUUUUGUUCAUGGACCCAGUGGAGGAAUAUGUUAUGACAAUGGAGUUUUAAGGAAAGCUUUUUGUUUUCUUGUAUCAUGCACUUUAUCCAUCCUGUUUUGUUGUCUGAUGGCUUUCCUUUCUUGUUCUAGCCCAUAUUUCAUGACUAAAGCUAUUUCACAGGCAGCCUUGGAAGUCAGUCCUUUUUCAGAUAACAUUUUUCAGCUGAUCCACCUUCUUAUCUAAUUACAAAUCCAUCAGACAGUGCUUUAUUUGGCUACUACCCUGCAUCUUUUAAUGGUAUAUUUAUAGAAUGAUUUAGAUUGCCAUAGUAUUCUCCAGCCUUUGGUGAAUCACAGAUUUUAUUUUUUUAAUAGCCUUCUUUGCAAUCAGCAAAUUCAGCUUAGGAUAAUAACAUGGAACUUCAUUGGCUGUGUGGAAAUGUGAAGGGAAGAAAAUCCUGCAAGAUGCUCAUAGGGCCUUCAUUUAGGGAACAGAUAACAUUUUGUUUUAUUCAAGAAAUAACUAAUUUUUCAUUAGUUUUUGGGUUCUUAGAUGUAGUAAGCAGUCCUUCCUGAUGUUUUUUACAUUCAGAAUAAUACUGUUAUGAAACUAAAUAAAGGAUUAGUUAUCCUUAUGGAGCAUUAGAUCAGUUUCUGGAAUCUUAUGAUAUAAAGUGCCAUCACUCUCAUUUCACUGAAAUAAUUUCACCUGAACUUCACCUGAUUAUUGUCUGUUUGGUCUCCUCCUCUUUACUGAACUAGAUAUUGGAUUACCAAGCUGUAGUGAAAUUCCUACUCAGUCCUCUAUCCUGAUAAUAUAUGAAGAUAACCUGUUUUAACUAAAAUCAAAAGUUUUAACUAAAAUCAAGUGUUAGAACUACACUAUCCUUGGGUUUCCUCAUGUUUCCUGACUUUCCUGUGUCCAGCUUACAAUGGAUCAAGUUGUUGAGAGCACAGUUUUUGCUUCUGUAUCUUAUGAAUACCAUGAUGAAUAAAUAAAUAGUGUUGCUUCCUGUAGAAGUACUGCUACAGAUGUGCUGUAGGAACAGUAGGAAUGGGAAAUCUUUAUGCUUUAAAAGAUAUCUCUGAACAUGGAAUUAUUGUUGAAAUACAGUAAAGAAAAUAAAUACAAUUUACUUUC
ensembl:lncRNA